rnacentral:rRNA from 1 species
AGCGAACGCUGGCGGCAUGCUUAACACAUGCAAGUCUCACGGGCAGCAAUGUCAGUGGCGGACGGGUGAGUAACGCGUAGGAAUCUGUCUUCGGGUGGGGGAUAACUGUGGGAAACUACAGCUAAUACCGCAUGAUACCUGUGGGUCAAAGGCGUAAGUAGCCUGAAGAGGAGCCUGCGUACGAUUAGCUAGUUGGUGGGGUAAAGGCCUACCAAGGCUGCGAUCGUUAGCUGGUCUGAGAGGAUGAUCAGCCACAUUGGGACUGAGACACGGCCCAAACUCCUACGGGAGGCAGCAGUGGGGAAUAUUGGACAAUGGGCGCAAGCCUGAUCCAGCAAUGCCGCGUGUGUGAAGAAGGUCUUCGGAUUGUAAAGCACUUUCGGCGGGGACGAUGAUGACGGUACCCGUAGAAGAAGCCCCGGCUAACUUCGUGCCAGCCGCCGCAGUAAAAC